rnacentral:rRNA from 1 species
AUGUCGAUCUUCGCAGAUGAUGUGAUCAUUUUUAUCAAACCGGUGGACCUCGAGCUAACAACCACAGCAAGGAUCUUGGAGAUGUAUGGCAUGGCGUCCGGCCUUCGGGUUAAUAUGCAGAAUACCUCAGCCAUGCCAAUACGAUGCUCGGAGGAAGAGGUGGGGCGCGUGGAGGGUAUCCUGGGAUGCAGCAUUGGAUCCUUCCCAUGCAAAUAUCUCGGCCUCCCCCUAUGUCUGAAGAAACCCUCUGCGGCACAACUAAGCGGAUUGGUGGAGGAGCUGGCUACUCGCCUGCCCACCUGGAAGGCAGCGACCCUACCUAAAAGUGGCAGACUCAUUUUGGUCCUCUUGGUUCUCUGCUCGAUCCCUCUACAUGCGAUGAUUGCUCUGGACUUACCCAUGAAGACGAUAGCGGCCAUGAACAAGAUAAUCAGAGGGGUUUUGUGGUGCGGUAAAGCUCAAGCUAAUGGAGGGCACUGCUCUGUGGCUUGGGAGGAGGUGUGCAUGCCACGUUGGGCAGGAGGCCUGGGAAUACCGCGCCUCAGGUGGCUCAAUGUCGCUAUGCAGGCUCGCUGGGCCUGGUUACAUCGGGUGGACCGAGAUCGACCUUGGGCAGAGUUCAAGUUUGCUCUCCCCAAGGCAUCUCUAGUGGUGGUUGCAGCAGCCACCAAGGUUUUUUUUUUGAAACUGUCACGGGGGGGGGGGACUCCCCACCUGAAUAUAUUUCAAAAGUAUUUUGUUACAAACUUAGACAAGGCGAGAGGUAAAAUAGUCCCGCCACAGGCCGGCGUGAACUUUGUCCUCCACCUUCUUAAGGCGAUGAGACCACAAUGUGAGAUCCGCGAUGAUGCCCCUAGUAACAUCAUGGGGUGA